GCGAACCAUGGGGCCCUCCCCGUCUCCCACGUGGAUUCCCUUCCCGACCGCCGUCUACCGCGCUGCUGCUCCGCGCCGUUCCCGUCCGCCGCCGAUCCGCGCCGUCCCCGGCGCCCUCCCCCUCUCCGCACCCCUGCUCCGUCCCCGGCGCCGCAGAUCCGCGCCGCCCUGCCGCGGUGAUGCCGCCGCCGUCUCCCCAUCGCACGCGCCCUAGAUCCACGACUGCUCUCGCGAGAUCAGCCGUCAAUGAGGAAGAGGAGCCAUGGCGCCUGGUGUACCAUCCUCUCCGAUCCCUUCUUCUACGGAGACGACAUUGACGAGCUUCGCGGGCGCAUCGAUCUGGCCUCUCCGACGCCGACACCGACGCCCCCUCCAACGCCGCGGCCUGCCCUUUGAUCGGCCGUGACACGCCAUAGCUGCCCCCGGAGAUCACGCCGAUUCGAUCAGUGGUAGCCUUGCCUAUCGAUUCUCAGCCGCCACUGGCAUCCCCGGUGGGUCGAGGAAGCCUCCAGCCUCCCCGGCGGGCACGAGCGCUGGCCCUCGCGCGAAACCUCCCCCACUCCAUCUUCCCCGGUGCGCGGGCUCCACCGGCCUUCCCGGCGCACGCGGGCGCCGUACCUGCAGCUGCUCGCCUUUGAUUCGCGGCCGCCACUGGCCUCCCCCAGCGGGUCGGGGAUGCCAUCGGCCUUUCCCUCGCUCGGCUAGCUCUACUUCGAUGGCGACGAGGCUUCGGCAGAUGGUUCGCGAUAAGGAUCGAUGGACGGGGCUGUGUUGUCGUAGGCAAGGCAAUGGCGGUGGUGAUUUGGUAGGAUCGAUGGACGGGGCUGUGUUGUCGUAGGCAAGGCAAUGGCGGUGGUGAUUUGGUCUGGCCGACAUCUAUGCUACGGAUGUUCCAUUGUAACUCACAGGACAGAUCUGCCUACCAAUCAAGCGAUAACAACAGAAUCCAGGAACAUCUUGCUGAGGUACUUCUAUCUCUGAGAGGGUAAGCUGUUUCAUCAAGGCUAUAUAGCUCACAUGACUAUGGAAUCUAACCAACUACACUUAAAUCCUGUCCUGAACUCUACUGAGUCAAAGAGAGCAGCUCCAGACAAUCUCGCUCCGGAGAACAACAACAAACAGCCUAGGGGUCCUGUCGCCGAUGUUGGAAGCCAGUCAAACAAAAAGAGCUGAACCGCAGCUGGUGGUUGUCCUCCUCGGCAUCCCUCAGUGUCAGACGUGUUUGGCAUGCCAGUUGAAGCCAUGCAUGAACACAAGUACCGAAGUGCAGCCAGGAGAAUAUGAAGAUUUUGAUUGAAACGUACUGAUAAAAUUGUCUCUCAGGCUAUGAGCUCCUUGGAUCUAUUUUCUAAUGGUGGAACUGUAAAGUUUUUUAAAGCAGAAGAUUGCCAACCAUCAAUUUUGCUAUCUCAUCAUGGACGCUAUUUUUAUGGACCAAAGUGACUGGAUGUAGUUCCAACUUUCUUUUAACCUAGUUGAGCUGUAGAAGAGUUGAAAUAGUUUGUUGACUUCAGUUGAUGUUCUUGGAUGACUCGCACUUUACUUCUUUUUGGAAGAUACUAUUAUGUUCACAAGUUAUGAUACAAUACUUGGUUGAUUGCAUGAUAACUUUAGCCCAUUUUUGCUGUAGGUGCGGUGAGGAUGAUUCAAGCUGUUACUCCUCACAUGAUGGAAACAUUGGAAGGAACCAAUAGUGAAAUGCAACUUUCCAACCGAAGCAAGAGUCUUCAUCCACUUAAUCCUCGCUUAUGCCACUUAGUGGUACAGGUUUCUAUGUAUUUAUAUUACAAAUAGUUGUGCAUAAUUGUACACCUCUGUUGUAACGCUAAUGCUAUGGUUACUAUAUUCAUGGCAAAAAUGAUUACUUAUCUUGAGAAUAAGAAAAUAAAGCGCGCCAAGGCGCGCGCAAA